rnacentral:rRNA from 1 species
CCUACGGGAGGCAGCAGUGGGGAAUAUUGCACAAUGGGGGAAACCCUGAUGCAGCGACGCCGCGUGAGUGAAGAAGUAUCUCGGUACGUAAAGCUCUAUCAGCAGGGAAGAAAAUGACGGUACCUGACUAAGAAGCCCCGGCUAACUACGUGCCAGCAGCCGCGGUAAUACGUAGGGGGCAAGCGUUAUCCGGAUUUACUGGGUGUAAGGGGAGCGGAGACGGCAGUACAAGUCUGGAGUGAAAUCCCGGGGCUUAACCGCGGAAGUGCAUUGGAAACUGGGCGGCUGGAGUGCAGAAGGGGUGAGCGGAAUUCCAGGUGUAGCGGUGAAAUGCGGAGAUAGUAGGAAGAACACCAGUGGCGAAGGCGGCUCACUGGACUGUAACUGACGUUGAGGCUCGAAAGCGUGGGGAGCAAACAGGAUUAGAUACCCCAGUAGUC